rnacentral:rRNA from 1 species
UCGGGCGUGGAUAAUAAUCGGGUAUUAAGUUGUCUACCGAAGCAGUGGGAUCAUUGAUAUGAUCGGUAGGGGAGCAUUCCAGUCAGCGUCGAAGGCGUACCGUGAGGUAUUCUGGAGCGUCUGGAAAAGCAAAUGUAGGUAUAAGUAACGAUAAAGGGGGCGGGAAACCCCCUCGCCGAAAGACUAAGGUUUCCUGAUCAACGCUAAUCGGAUCAGGGUCAGUCGGGUCCUAAGGCUCAGCCGAACGGCGAUGCCGAUGGCAGAAACGGUUAAUAUUCCGUUACUACCUUCAGGAGUGACGUGGAGACGCAGUAGUGACAGUGCCGCCAUCUGACGGAAUAGAUGGUUGAAGGGUGUAGGAGUCGAUCAUGGCAGGCAAAUCCACCAUGAGAUCCGAACCUGAUAGUAUGCCGCGUCCUUCGGGACAAGGCAAUAGUGCGCGUAAGCAUGCUGCCGAGAAAAUCCGCUAAACUUAAUCCUGCAGGUACCCGUACCGCAAACGGACACACGUAGUCGGGAUGAAUAUUCUAAGGCGCUUGAGUGAUUCACGGUUAAGGAACUAGGCAAACUGACCCUGUAACUUCGGGAUAAAGGGUCCCUACCCUUUUAUGGGAGGGCGCAGAGAAUCGGUCCAGGCAACUGUUUAACAAAAACACAGGGCUGUGCCAAAUCGAAAGAUCCAGUAUACAGCCUGACACCUGCCCGGUGCUGGAAGGUUAAGAGGAGAUGUCAUCGAUAAGAGAAGCGUUGAAUUGAAGCCCCAGUAAACGGCGGCCGUAACUAUAACGGUCCUAAGGUAGCGAAAUUCCUUGUCGGGUAAGUUCCGACCUGCACGAAUGGUGUAAUGAUCUGGACGCUGUCUCAACCGUGAGCUCAGUGAAAUUGUAGUAUCGGUGAAGAUGCCGAUUACCCGCGAUGGGACGAAAAGACCCCGUGAACCUUUACUAUAGCUUAUCAUUGAAUCUGGGCACGUGAUGUGUAGGAUAGGUCGGAGGCUUUGAAGCAGGUACGCCAGUAUUUGUGGAGCCGCUGUUGAAAUACGACCCUUUAUUUGUUUGGAUUCUAACCCGUGGAUACGGGGACAUUGAUUGGUGGGUAGUUUGACUGGGGUGGUCGCCUCCAAAAGCGUAACGGAGGCUUCUA